rnacentral:misc_RNA from 1 species
UAUCGAAUUUGGGGAGGGAAGAUGGAAGGGUGAAGACUGUCGCUGGCUAGAUUAGCAUGUGCACGUCUCUCGCCUUUUCAUCUAACCUUUCUCUUUCUCUCACACCUGUGCACCUGUCGUAGGCCCUCGAAAGAGGAUCUAUGUUUUUUCACAUCACACCUGAUUUGCAUGGCCAUAGAAUGUGUCAUAAUGAAAUAAAUACAACUUUCAGCAACGGAUCUCUUGGCUCUCGCAUCGAUGAAGAACGCAGCGAAUUGCGAUAAGUAAUGUGAAUUGCAGAUUUUCAGUGAAUCAUCGAAUCUUUGAACGCACCUUGCGCUCCUUGGUAUUCCGAGGAGCAUGCCUGUUUGAGUGUCAUUGAAUUCUCAACCAUGCCUUUAUUGGAGGGCAUGGCUUGGAGUUUGGGAGGUUGCUGGCGUCGAAGGACGGUCGGCUCUCCUGAAAUGUAUUAGUGAUGGACAAGCAGGUCUUUCGACGUGCACGGCCUCCCGACGUGAUAAUGAUCGUCGUGGCUGGAGCGUCAGACAUCGACCUUGCCUCAAAUUGCUUCCAAUCAUGGACCGAGUCAAGCUUAGCUACUAGUUGGUCUCAGACUGGUGAAUGCGGCCGGAGCUCGAGUCAAUGAAUGCUUGACCUCAAAU